UACGCGGAUCGGUCCGUUAUCAGUGCAUUCACAAGGAAACGGGAAAAUAACUAUGUAAUAACAAAGUGAAUUACAUGAAAAAAGUCGUCUCAAAAGUAGCAAGUAUCCCCCGGUGUUGUUUAUUGUCUUCGAUUGAACGUCUCAUCGAACUACACAAUCGUCUGUGAUUCUUUGUAUACAUUUGUUGAUCUAGCCAGAUAUCAAAUUCUUCAAUUAUGGUUUGUGUUCCAUGUGUGCUUGUGCCGUUGUUGCUCUUCUUGUGGGGUAUUAUCAAGCCUAUGUUAAACUGGUUCAGAACACCAGUGGAAAAUUCUGAAGACCCAAAUAAUGCUGGCGAUGAUCAAGUUUGUUCAUUGCUAUCAUCCUGUCCGUGCAUUAAUAAAAACAUAAAAUCACCUAUGGAUCAAGGAGACAACAAGACAAACAAGAGUGAAACAAUACUUAAAGAAUCACUUGAAACAUCCGAUACCAACAAAAAGGACCUUUAAAUGCACUAUUUACAAUAGUUAUAAGAACGUAAAAAUUCAUUUUUUUUUUAUAUCUGUGAUUGAAUUAUUUUAUGGUUCUAUUAGUUUACACAAUCAUUUUUAUUUAAGAGCUGUUGUUUAUAUUUAAUACAAUGUUAUAUUCUAUAUUUUAAUGUCUUGUGUUUGUUUCUCAAUCAUAAAUUCAAUAAACCAUUUUAAGUUAGAACCAACAAGUUUUACUGAAAAUUAUAUUUUACAUUAGUUACUAGUUUAAAUGUAAUUUGGUAUUGUGUCUAUCAGUUUAUUUUACCUGAAUUUUAUUUACCCUUUGUCAUAUUAUGUUACUUGUAAUAUUUAAUCAUUGUAUAUAACUAAUUUUCAAUAAUAAUAAUUCAAUAUUGUUUCAUCUUCAAAUACUCAAUGAUUGAUUACGAUUCAAAUUUAUUAAUGUAAAAAUAGGAAUUUUACCUUUUUAUGUUGAUAUUGUUUAGUUGUGUAUACAUAAUGGGAAAAUAUAUUAAUAACUAAAUUAAUAUUCCUCUCCACUUAUAUUUAACAUAUCUUUAGCAUUUUAUUGUUUAAUAGAAUGUAAUUGAAAUUAAUAAUUCUUUAAUUUUAUCAUAAUCUGUUGACUUUUUUAAUGAUGCCUUAGUCUUUAUUUUAAUUUAAUGUACAACCAAUUCAUUAUUAUUGUAUUCCAUAUUUAUUAGGUACCUAUAAACAUUUUAAUACCUGUUUUAUAAUUGUAGCAGUCAGUAUAUUUGAAUCAAUUUUACAUUAAUGUAAUCGGUGAGAGUAAUAAUUUACUAUGUAAUUAAUCACAUAUCGUUUUUAAUAUAAAUUUAAAAAUUGUAUUGUUAAUAAAUUUAUCAAAAAUGUAA